UACGUAGGGUGCGAGCGUUGUCCGGAAUUAUUGGGCGUAAAGAGCUCGUAGGCGGUGUGUCACGUCGGCCGUGAAAACCUGCAGCUUAACUGUGGGCGUGCGGUCGAUACGGGCAUCACUGGAGUUCGGCAGGGGAGACUGGAAUUCCUGGUGUAGCGGUGAAAUGCGCAGAUAUCAGGAGGAAUACCGAUGGCGAAGGCAGGUCUCUGGGCUGACACUGACGCUCAUGCUCGAAAGCGUGGGGAGCAAACAGG
rnacentral:rRNA from 1 species